rnacentral:rRNA from 1 species
UGCAAGUCGAACGAACUCUGGUAUUGAUUGGUGCUUGCAUCAUGAUUUACAUUUGAGUGAGUGGCGAACUGGUGAGUAACACGUGGGAAACCUGCCCAGAAGCGGGGGAUAACACCUGGAAACAGAUGCUAAUACCGCAUAACAACUUGGACCGCAUGGUCCGAGCUUGAAAGAUGGCUUCGGCUAUCACUUUUGGAUGGUCCCGCGGCGUAUUAGCUAGAUGGUGGGGUAACGGCUCACCAUGGCAAUGAUACGUAGCCGACCUGAGAGGGUAAUCGGCCACAUUGGGACUGAGACACGGCCCAAACUCCUACGGGAGGCAGCAGUAGGGAAUCUUCCACAAUGGACGAAAGUCUGAUGGAGCAACGCCGCGUGAGUGAAGAAGGGUUUCGGCUCGUAAAACUCUGUUGUUAAAGAAGAACAUAUCUGAGAGUAACUGUUCAGGUAUUGACGGUAUUUAACCAGAAAGCCACGGCUAACUACGUG